rnacentral:rRNA from 1 species
GCGUGAGAAUUUGCCUCUAGGAGGGGGAUAACAACUGGAAACGGUUGCUAAUACCCCAUAUGCUUUCGAGUGAAAUGGAUUUCCGCCUAGAGAGAAGCUUGCGGCUGAUUAGCUUGUUGGUGGGGUAAUGGCUCACCAAGGCGACGAUCAGUAUCUGGUUUGAGAGGACGAUCAGACACACUGGAACUGAGACACGGUCCAGACUCCUACGGGAGGCAGCAGUGGGGAAUUUUCCGCAAUGGGCGAAAGCCUGACGGAGCAAUACCGCGUGAGGGAUGACGGCCUAUGGGUUGUAAACCUCUUUUUUCAGGGAGGAAUCAAUGACGUGUACCUGAAGAAUAAGCAUCGGCUAACUCCGUGCCAGCAGCCGCGGUAAGACGGAGGAUGCAAGUGUUAUCCGGAAUCACUGGGCGUAAAGCGUCUGUAGGUGGUUUAAUAAGUCAACUGUUAAAUCUUGAGGCUCAACCUCAAAAUCGCAGUCGAAACUAUUAGACUAGAGUAUAGUAGGGGUAAAGGGAAUUUCCAGUGGAGCGGUGAAAUGCGUAGAUAUUGGAAGGAACACCGAUGGCGAAGGCACUUUACUGGGCUAUUACU